rnacentral:rRNA from 1 species
AUGGAUCGUCGGGCGCCUCCCCCUCCUUCCUCGCUCUCCGGCGCCUCGAGUCCCCGCUGCCGCUUCGACGCGGCGUGGAGGGCGCUCCGGAGGCGCGGCGCCGCGGCCGCGGCGGCCCUCGGGCGGGCGCUCGGCGCGCUGCUCACCUUCGUCUUCGCCGUCGUGGGUUCACUGGUCGGGAUCUUCAUCGGUGCCUUCAUGGGGAUGUCCACGGAAAGCGGCAUGCUCCGGGGCGCCGGCGUGGGGGCGGUCUCCGGCGCAGUCUUUUCUAUUGAGGCUGUUGAAUCCUGCAUCGAGAUUUGGAGAUCUAGCGAAUCCGGAAAGUAUAGCUUUCUCUUUGUGCUAGACAUCAUCUCUAGCCUCUUCAGUGGACGAAUUGUUUGGGAGAAGGUCAGUCCAGCACUCCAGCGUGCAGUGCAAAGUCAGAUGAGUUUAAUGAGUACACCUUUCAUUGACAACAACGACCUUUUCGAAACCGGCUGCACGGGUGGUAUGUCAAGAGCCCUGAUCAAUAAGAUCCCAGCAAUCAGGUUCAGCGCUGCAACCGAUUCUGAUCAGGAAACCAAUAAGAGCUGCUGUUCUGUAUGCCUUCAGGACUUGAGACCGCAGCAAUUUGUGAGAGCCUUGCCUCAGUGCCAGCACAUUUUCCACGUGCGAUGCAUCGAUGACUGGCUUCAGAGGAACGCCUCCUGCCCACUGUGCAGGGCUGGUGUUCACAUAGACCACCUGUGCUUAUAA